rnacentral:lncRNA from 1 species
UAAGAUAACCUAACCAGUUGGCAGUAUCUCACGCCCUGAGAUGGGUUUUCCAAAGACCAAAUGGACCAUUUUCUUGUCCUUUCAAAGAGAGCCACACAGGAAGGAAAACAAGAAAUUCAACUUUUAAGCUGGGCUAUUCAUGGCCUUUGCUAAAUCCUGGCAAAGAGUCACAGUUUUUCAUUACGAUUCAUCUCACUGAUUUCCUAAUGGAAUGAACUGGCCUUUUCAUUAAGGCCAUUGGAGAGUGAAGUUGGGUUACCCAAGUCAUUAAGUGUUGUUAUCUGAUGAGUGAAAAAUGGAUUACUUUUCAAUAUGCAUUUGGGGAUCCCUGUGUUUUCUUUCACUGGGUUCUAUUUUGUGAAAAUUGGUUCAAGGGGAAGGAGAAGGUCAAUGUUGCAUAUUCUCCCAUGCUGGAACAAUGUAUGCCUUUCUGCUCUGUGGGCAGUAGAAAUAAAAUAGAUGGGUUCAGUAAUUGGAAAUGUAGUGCUAACAUUCUUAUUUCCCAUCUUUAAGAGAGCCUAGCCAUCUCACCCACUUGAGAACAUUCUAUUCCCGUAACCAAUAGGAAUGUUACUUCAUUAGUUUCUUAGCUUUUCCAUUAAAGCAGACAGACACGCACACACACGUGCACACACAGUGACAUUUGUUCCUUCUACCAAACCCCACUUCAUAGAGAUAUCAGUUUGCAUAAGAGAAGAGAACAGAUUUAUUUAAACCCCAUCCUGAAUUCACUAUUAGGAAUAUAACGCUCUCUAACACUGAACUUAAUAAAAUAUGCUGUGGCUAAGCCAUGUAAUUACAUCUUUGUUUAACUUUAGUGAAAUUCACUGUGAAACACCUUCUGUAAUUUACAAAUUAUUGAAAUGAAUACUUGGCAUGUACUUUUUUGGGGAUAAUAUUAAAUAUAACCUUAGAAGGUA